rnacentral:rRNA from 1 species
ACCUGACUAAGAAGCUACGGCUAACUCCGUGCCAGCAGCCGCGGUAAUACGGAGGAUCCGAGCGUUACCCGGAUUUAUUGGGUUUAAAGGGAGCGUAGAUGGAUGUUUAAGUCAGUUGUGAAAGUUUGCGGCUCAACCGUAAAAUUGCAGUUGAUACUGGAUAUCUUGAGUGCAGUUGAGGCAGGCGGAAUUCGUGGUGUAGCGGUGAAAUGCUUAGAUAUCACGAAGAACUCCGAUUGCGAAGGCAGCCUGCUAAGCUGCAACUGACAUUGAGGCUCGAAAGUGUGGGUAUCAAACAG